GACGAACGCUUGCUUCGUGCUUAACACAUGCAAGUCGAACGGAAAGGCCCUGCUUUUGUGGGGUGCUCGAGUGGCGAACGGGUGAGUAACACGUGAGUAACCUGCCCUUGACUUUGGGAUAACUUCAGGAAACUGGGGCUAAUACCGGAUAGGAGCUCCUGCUGCAUGGUGGGGGCUGGAAAGUUUCGGCGGUUGGGGAUGGACUCGCGGCUUAUCAGCUUGUUGGUGGGGUAGUGGCUUACCAAGGCUUUGACGGGUAGCCGGCCUGAGAGGGUGACCGGCCACAUUGGGACUGAGAUACGGCCCAGACUCCUACGGGAGGCAGCAGUGGGGAAUAUUGCACAAUGGGCGGAAGCCUGAUGCAGCAACGCCGCGUGCGGGAUGACGGCCUUCGGGUUGUAAACCGCUUUCGCCUGUGACGAAGCGUGAGUGACGGUAAUGGGUAAAGAAGCACCGGCUAACUACGUG
rnacentral:rRNA from 1 species